UCUUCAAAAAAGUGUUGACAAGCGAAAGCAGUUGUGAUAUAC
rnacentral:rRNA from 1 species